UGAAUGCAUUUUUUACUCUCUCUCUCUUGCUCAGCUGCUGGCUCCAUCCAGAAAAGAUGUUUAUAUGGAGCUUCCUGGGACCAGUCUGUGUCAUUAUCUCUGUCAAUUUAGUGUUGUUUUUCAUGACCCUCUGGAUUUUGCAAAGCAAGCUGUCUUCCCUCAACGGCGACGUAUCCACCCUCCAGAACACAAGGAUGCUGACAUUCAAAGCGACGG